UCUUCCGAUUCCCCCGUCGGCCGUUGCGCAGUCGAGUGCGACGGCGGCGACGGACCGCGUGCCGCGCCAUGCCUCGCACGCUCUCCUCACGCGACGACGACGACGCUGCCUCUCCGAUCCCUGACGCCAUGAUGCUCUCGCAAUCCAUCACUCGGACUGGCAGAUGCUUGUGUCGGCCGCUCGAUCGUGACGGGGGCUCCCGUCUGCGAAGGUGUGGUCUCUGGCGGCAAGGGAUGCGGGCGGCCCCGAAUCAUGCGCGCCCGCCAGGUGCUCGACGGGUUGCGCAGGCACCACUUCACGCGCAGCGCAGUUGGAGAACUAAAAGAAAAACUAAAUGAGGGCUCCAGAGAAGAUUUCCUCAUGAAAAGGUGAGUGCAUUUGGGCCCAUUAGUCCUUCAAUUUGAACUUGCAAGUUCGAAAGCUGACUUAUUGGUUUAUUUGAAUUGUUUUAUAAUCUCAUGUUACAUAUUUGGUGUCACAACCAGGUUAGUGCCCUUCGAUUUCAUGCAUUUAUGUUUCACUGUAGCAGCAUAGACUAAUGCUAAUGACUUGACAGCGGUCUGAGAUAUUGCUAGAUUAUGGUAUAUGAACAUAUUUUUAGAAUAGCAGAAUGAUUGAAUAGAUACAUAAUGAGAAAGUAUCACAGCAAGGAGUCCUGGACAAUUCAACACCACACUGUAUGAUGUGGAAUAUUUUUUUUUUCUAAAGGAACACCUGAAACUGAAAUCCUCAGUGCCCAAUUUGUUUCAAUCUUGACUUGAUAUUCAUGGUUUUGAAGUUUGAUGCAUUAAGUAGAAGCAAUGCACUUGGAGAAGAUGAGAGGAUUUAGCCGUUGUCUUGUUAAAAAUAUAAUUGUUAUCCAGUAUUCAGCAGUCAGUACCAUUUUCUCUUGUACCAUAUUUCAUUUUGAAGGGGGCUUUGGGCCCCAAAUGUCCCAUGUACUGCAUAGUACAUACAGACAAUGGGGUCUAUAAUAUUAAUACGUCAAAGAUUAGGCCAUGAAAGAAUCCAAUGCAAAGAGGAUCUUGAGUUUACCUAAAAAGGAGAAUUAAAAAUCUGUAUGCUGGGGCUUAAACUUGAGGAAGCUUUUAAUCAGGAACACACCAAAAAUUCUUGUGAAAAAAGGUAUAACACAUAUUUUUACUAAAUUAUGGGACUCAAUAGAUGACUUCCAAACUCCACCCCGACCCCCACCCCCAAAAAAAACUCAUUAUGCUCCUCUAGUAUUGCCUGUGUCCAAUCUGUACUGCCUUUCGGUGAAGCCGGUCAUUAUCCUGCUUGAUACAGUGCGUGAAAGAAAAAGAUCAGGUAUGUGGUAAUCAUAUUAUCAUGACUAUCAAGUAUUACCUUUCAUUUCCAUUUACUGCCUUUCGGUGAAGAUUACUGUUAUAUUGGUUCGUGUUCUGCUUGUCAUUCUGACUUAUUCCACUUAUCUUUGUCUUAUUUUCAGAUCUUUCCAAGAGAAAUGGAGCUUUUUAUUGCUAGCUGGAAGAGUCAUUGUCCACUGCCAUACUAUCUUAUCCCUUUUUCUUUUUACUGGCUAAACAGAAUCAUGUAUUUGAUCUUCACAGAUAUAGACCAAUCAUGGAAGACCAAUGAAAGACCAAUUUCCAUCCCGAUUACACUAGUAAAGGCAGAUAGUACAGGGUAUUGGAUGACAAAUUGACAGGGACGCAUUGACAGUGAGACAGAUCAUGGAUACAUACUGGUGGCUACAUUUCACCGUCAUCCAUCCCCCUCCACAUGGGCUUGAACGCAGCACCUCAACACACAUUAUCCGAUUCCCAUGGCCAUUCAUUGCUGUUCAUCUCUGGACACAGAAAAGGAUGAGCAAUGCCUUGUGGCAGCUGCACCAGGAGGGACCCCUGGUGAAUCAAGCUUCAGAGACAAGAUCGGACACGCAGCCAUGGCAUGCUGCUGUUCUCUGUACUCCAAGCCGAACCAUGCAUGAAUGGCGCGGGCCACCAUUGCUGGCGCGGAGAUUGGCCGCGUGAGUGAUCGAGGGCAUGUGAUGUGUGCGGAUGCGGCAAGUUGCGCUACGCAACUGCGUGCACCAACGCGUGGUGGGGUUCAGUGUUUGUACGUGAGCCGUCUAAAGGAACAGGCCGGCAAAUGGCACUGUCCGUUUGCCAUGUGAGCUAACUGUUGUCGGGCAAGGAGAAGGCGGCUGCAGGGCGAGGGCGGUUUUCCGGUGAACUGUGGGCCGGUACGCAUGCAUCCAUAUGACCAUAUUGAACUGCUGAUGCUAUGCACAAAAGGUCACAGGAUUUUCAGGGCUGCUGGAAAAGGAUAUGAGAUAAUGAAUGUCGUGGCCGAGGCUCACAUGAUAACGGUGAUCCUUGUCCUUGUCCUCCCACAUCCGCAUGAGAGGCUGCUGCAUUAUCACCCUUAUCUGGUACUGGGAAUUUAUGAGGCUUAUCACUUGCUGAACAAGCUGGCAACUGCACUUCCGUUGGAAAAAAAGAAAAACAAAUGAAAAUCAUGGCCAAUGAGUGAGCACAUGGGGGUUGCUAGCUACAGAUAAGGUCAGGCUAAAUUAUCUAACAUGGUGGGAGAACACAAUCAGAUGGCAGGGCUAUUGAAAUGUAGUAUAGAAUAGAUUAUGAUGGCCCAUAUAUGGCCCAAAAGGGCAGGCAGGUCAUGUGCUAGAUUGCUCGGGCUGCAGAGAUUGCGCUAGGCCUAAACACUAUCUGCCAAGAAAAAAAUCGAAGCCCAGCAAGGCAGCACCCGGGAGUUGAGUUCUGACCCCGGCUCAUUGCAGAAGUUGAGAAAGAAAGUCACCUGCUGCUGAGAUGUGCACUGCAUCUGUGCUUCGUAGCAAAAUGAAGUAGCGCUCACUUCUUGAAGCUGUUGGUUUCACGAGCUUCCAUUACAGUCGAGGGAGGAAAACAACAGGGAAAUUAUCACGAGCUCUGCAGUCUGCAGGUAAACAAAAUUCAGAACCUUUCCAUGAGCAACUCCACAAAGAAAAGGGCUAGCAAUGCCCUUCCACCACGUUCCAAGCCUAAACAAAAAUCACAAAAAGAUGCAGAACCUGCACUGCUGGAGAGUCCAUGAUGGCCUGAGCUCAGUGCUGCACUGCUGCCUGUAUGGAUGGAUGGAUAGUACAGCAGACAUGUUGGCAGACGCGAUGGAGAAAGAGACAUGCAGGCGAGUGCUGUGGAUCCUGGAAAGGGAGCCAAAAGGGGGCGGGCGUGAUCCACAAAUCCCAAUAAAAGCGUAGCAGUUGGAGUGAGGUCAUGCAAAAGUGACCAAUCCUUGUCCUCUUCGAUCAAGAGUACCUGUCGAGCUCAAUGAUGCCGUUCAUCUGUUUGCUCACAGUGGUAAAAAAAAAACAGUCUCAUGAAAGUUCAGUCCAUUUUGAAAGAUUGCAAUGAAGAAUGAACAGUGACGCUGGCAACUUGCACCCCCAGCAUUUUGAUACGAGUUUAGGGGCUAGUGAUCGUGAUGAUUCCCUCCUCCAGCGUAAAAGGUUGCAGAAGAUGCUAGUGAUUUUGGGAUACUUCGACCGGGUUCAGGUAAUGCAAAACUACCCCCGAGUACCCCUGUGUAUGUUGCGCAAACUUCUUGUUUUUCCUUUUGUACCAAAACGACAGGACACGAGGACAGUCCUGGCGAAGGGAAUCUCUCCCCGUUCUCAAA